UACGUAGGGUGCAAGCGUUGUCCGGAAUUAUUGGGCGUAAAGAGCUCGUAGGCGGUCUGUCGCGUCGGCUGUGAAAACCCAGGGCUCAACCCUGGGCCUGCAGUCGAUACGGGCAGACUAGAGUUCGGCAGGGGAGACUGGAAUUCCUGGUGUAGCGGUGAAAUGCGCAGAUAUCAGGAGGAACACCGGUGGCGAAGGCAGCUCGCUGGGACGGUACUGACGCUGAGACGCGAAAGCGUGGGGAGCAAACAGG
rnacentral:rRNA from 1 species